UCAGCCGCCGCGGUAAUACCAGCUCCUCGAGUGGUCGGGGCGAUUAUUGGGCCUAAAGCAUCCGUAGCCUGUUCUGUAGGUCCUCUGUCAAAUCCAACGGCUUAACCGUUGGCCCGCAGAGGAUACCGCAGGACCAGGAGGCGGGAGAGGUGGACGGUACUCUACGUGUAGGGGUAAAAUCCUUUGAUCCGUAGAAGACCACCAGUGGCGAAGGCGGUCCACCAGAACGCGCUCGACGGUGAGGGAUGAAAGCUGGGGGAGCGAACCGGAUUAGAUACCCGGGUAGUCCCAGCCGUAAACGAUGCGAGCUAGAUGAUCCGGUCGCAAAUCGCGAUCGGAGUGUCGCAGGGAAGCCGUUAAGCUCGCCGCCUGGGGAGUACGGUCGC
rnacentral:rRNA from 1 species